rnacentral:rRNA from 1 species
UACAGAGGUCUCAAGCGUUGUUCGGAUUCAUUGGGCGUAAAGGGUGCGUAGGCGGUGUCGUAAGUCGGAUGUGAAAUCCCGGGGCUUAACUUCGGAACUGCAUUCGAUACUGCGAUACUCGAGGACUCGAGAGGAGAUUGGAAUUCACGGUGUAGCAGUGAAAUGCGUAGAUAUCGUAAGGAAGACCAGUGGCGAAGGCGGGUCUCUGGACAGUUCCUGACACUGAGACACGAAGGCCAGGGGAGCAAACGGG